CCCCCUGAGCUAAUCUCUCGCUCGUCUCUCCCUCUUCCCCGCAUCACUCCUCACCGCCGCCACCACCUACGGCGCCCGAUCCCGUCUGAUUCCGGCGUCCUCUGGCGGCGCCCAGCACACCACCGUGCCCCCUCCCAACGCGCCUUCCUCCCAUCGGGCCAGAUCCGGCGCGCGCGUCCUCCAGCGGCCAAGCGCGACCCUGCCCAGCAGCUAGGGUUUGGGCCAGCACAUCGCCGGGCAUGGAGCCUCCUCCCGCUGUCUCCUUUCUUCUACAACUUCUCUUCUUCUCCUCUUGAUGUGUGCAUGUAUUGUGUCAAUGAAAGCAAUUCAAGGCCAUGGCCGGAGAGAGAGGAGCUGCUCCUAGUAUAGGACGCCAUGGAAGUGUUGCUCUAAUGAGGAGAAACUGCUGCUGCAGGACGUCCUCCUCCCCUCCUACCCCCACCUAGGGCUCUCGGAGGAGGCGAAGCAAUGGGAUAGGCACAUCAUGAAGGGCUGCAAGGGAGAUAUGUCCAUCGAUUGCCUCAGGUUCUUCUUUGCUCGUAGAUCGUUUUCCUAUGAUGCCGACGACAGAAUCCCAUAAUGUAUGUCCAUUGCCAAUCUAUGGAUUUUACAAAGAAGAUUGACUAAUUAAGAGCUUAGAUGUGUCUGCAGAGGCAUAAAAAAACAUGGUGAUCAGAAGGAUUUGUACGGGUAAGAUGCAAACAGUGCUGGCCUAUAUUAGCAUGCAGUUUUUUUUAUUGGUUCUUAUAAUUUAUCUGUUUCCCAGCAUAUAUUCCUGAUUCUUUCCAUAAAUUUAGCGGCGAAUCACGUCAUCCGAUUGACUCAUAUUGCAACAGGGAAAGGCAGAUAUGCCAUGGCCUUUGCCUCCAUGUGCCAUUGGCCUUUGUGUGUUUCUUUUAUUUGGGGGAAAACGAGAUUGAGAUAUAGACUAUGAACAUCGCAGGCUGAUAAUGUAAUUGGCCUUCUGCCCAGAUUUUACAAAAUUGGAUAAUGAAGUGCAAUACAGGACCCUCGCUAUGGAAUAAUUACUCUUUUAUAUCUCACUGUCCAGCCUUUGAUUCGAGGUAAAAAUGGUGCAUCGCCUCCCCGUACAAGGUGUCAAUUUUAGCGUCUAUUUACCCGGCCAAAUCGCAUAUGCGAAGCUUUUCUUGAUGCAUAGUUCUGUACCAUAGCCUAAGAAUCAGAGGUUGAUCUAUAUAUGUGAUUAUUGUUGUCAAGCGAUUUGUUUUGUCACAACCACUUUGCUCGUGUUCAUGUGUUGGACGCUUGGAGCCCCAGUUAGCCGGUGGCCUCACUGAUUUAAGGUGACGCGUGUGUUAAAUAGAACUGAUGUUGGAGUAAUUAAGCUCAAAAUAUGAACACUGUUAUGCUUUCUAAGUUUAACAAAACUCUGUCAGUAAAACUGCUAGGCCUAGGUUGACCUUAUAAAUGUUAUUUGAGCUAAUUUCUAUGUGCAGGUAUGAGGAUGUAGGUACGAAGGAGCAGCUAGGCAGUUACUUACACAAAGGCUUGGGCACUCUCAUAAAUGGCUCCAUUUUUGUUUACCUACUCAUCUGUAACAAAGAUGAUUUCUCCAUUGCUGUUGAGGAUACAAAGAUCUAGCUCGACUGGACUCUAGAUCACGGACAAUUUAGUCUUGGCCCUUAAUUAGGAUGGCUAAAUUACAUUUGAGUAUCAUUUGAUGGAUAUUUGCUAUGAGAAUUAUGAAUUUUAUGAAUCUACAUAUUAUAUGUAUGGUUUUGAAUAUUGUAAUUGAAUGCCUGUAUUUUUUUUACGGUUGCAAUAGGCUAUUACCACAACCCA